AACUGGUCCAAAGGUAAGAGGUAUCUCCAUUGAUUGUUCAGUCAGUUACAGAUCAAACUCCUUGCUCUACUUUUUUCUCCCUUCUCACUAGUGUACUUGACUAGUCUUGA
ensembl:misc_RNA Y_RNA Y RNA